GGGGCUAAACCUGAUGCUAAAUUUUCCAACUCAGGAGAUGAACUUGCUGUUUCCUCAUCUUUGCCUUUUGGGAUUAUAUGUUUGGAUGCAGGUGACACAUUUUGUGAUGAAGGAAGUUCAGUUUCUUUCUUCUUUAUCUCACCCCAUAGGCUGAGUGGAAGCUCAUGUUCAGGCUCUAACACCUCUGAGGUAGACAUCAAGCUCUUCUUCUGUGAUGAAACCAAACGUUCAGAGUCACAGACUGUAGAAAAUAAAAGAUCUUGUUUGUCUUCUACCCUUGCUUCCUCAGAUUUAUCUGAAUGCUGAGAAGAUGAUGUUUUGAUUACUGGCAACCCAGCUUUAACUUCUUUGGCUUCUACUUCUGACAAAACAGAAUGCUCUGCUAUAGAGGAGACACUUGGAAGUGAAUCAAAUUUAAUUUCCUUCUCUGCUUCUGACCAAGCUAAAUGUUUGGAUGAAGUUUCAAUGGGAGAAGCACCUUUAAUUGCCACCUUGUCUUCUUCUGCAAGAACUGAAUGUUCAUCUGCAGAUGUUACCAGUGGUGGCAAACCACUUCCUAAUUCACCCUUUCCUACUUUUGUUAAGACUGGACGAUCUACAGGAGUGAUAAGAGAUGAAUCUGUUGGGAUUUCUUCUUUUACUGCUCUGGUUAAGUUUGAAUCAAGCUUAGUUACAGAUGCUGUAGUUGUUGAGGAACUGGGUUCAAUUUCUUUUUUAAUUUCUUCUGACAAAGCUGAAAAUGCUAGUGCAGGUGGACCAUGUUCAACUUGCUUUUCCACUCCUGAGGAAGCUGAAUGAAGCACUAUAGGUGUAGUUGUUAUUUUGGAAUCAUGUUUCAUCUCCAUUUUCACUGCUGAUAAAGCCUCAGGUCCAGAUAAAGAUGUUUCCUUUAGAGGUGAAUAUGGUUUUAUUACUUCAGGCUCAUUCUUGGACAACUUUCUCUGUUCUAGUUCAGAAGUCACAUUUAGAACUAAUUUGGGCUUGACACCCUUCUUUGGCUCAUCUACCAUGUCAGGCAAAACUGAAUAUUUCAUCUCAGACUCUGGAACAUUUGGAGGCUGAGGCUCCAUUUUUUGAUCCUGUGAUACAUGUGCUGUAGCUUCUUGAGAAUCAGGCACAAUUUCUUCCUUUCUGACUUUUGACAAAGCCAUCUGUUCAUCUGCAGCUUUUAGAGUGAGUGCUGCUGUGGGUUCCUGUUCUUUCUUGAUUGCAGGGACUGAAUCAGGUAAAACUGAAUGUGGAGAUGCAGGUUUGGUUUCUUCCUUUACUAUAGAUGAUUGUGCAGGUAAAGCAGCAGGUAUUGCAGCUACUGAUGAACUUGCCUCCCUUUCUCCCUUCUCCACUUCACUGGUUAAAUGUGAAGGAAUCAAGUCUUCAGACUCAGGCUCUAAAUAUGCUUGAGUUUUCUGCUUCUGUGCCAAAAUGAGAUAUUCAGAUACAGAUGUUGAGGUUGUUGGAAUCUCUGGCUUAAUUUCUGCUUUCUCUGAUUUAUCUGUUGAAGGCGGCAGACUUAAGUCUUCAAGCGGAGACAUCAAAGGGAAAGUUUCAGCUUUUUGCUUCUGUGAUGAACUGAACUGCUCAGAUACAGGUGUAGCAGCUGUGGAUCCAAUGUCUUCCUCAUCUGCUUCUGAAAAGCAGGAAUAACCUGAAGCAGACACUGCAGUUAAUAGUGAAUCAGGCUCAAGUUCAUUUUUCUCUGUUUCUGAGAUUCUAAAGGGAGGGAUUGAAACUUGUGAUGCUGAGUCUGGAGAGAACAGUUCCGCUUCUUCAGUGUCUUCAUCUGACAAAAUAGUGUGCUCAGAUGGUGAUGUUAAACAUAUUGGAGAAUCGCACUCAAAUUCUCUUUUCUCUGCUUCCUGGGUUGCAUACGGUGGAAAUGAGAAUUCUGACACAAAUGCAGAAUCUGGAGAAAAAGGUCCAAUGUCUUCUUGAUCUUCUUCUGAUAAAUUCAUGGGUGAGGAUGCACCUUUUAGAUUUAGAGAUCUAUGGACAAUUUCUUCCUCCUGUGCCUCCGGUGUUGCAUAUGGUGGUACUGAAAAUUCAGAAGCAGAUGUAGAAGAGGGUGUGUAUCGUUCCAACUCGACUGCCUCUUCGUCUGAUAGAACAACAUAUUCAGAUGGGGUGGCUGAAAGUGGUGGGGCCUGGCAUUCAGAAGUCAUCUCGGUUGUGUGUGGUGGGAAAGAGUGUUCAGAUGCAACAACCAAAUCUGGGGAAGAUGGUCCAAUGACCUCCUUGCCGUCUACUGACAGAACUGUGUGCUCAGAAAUACCUUUUGGUUUGAAUUGGGAUGCCUCAUUGAUUAUUUUCUUUUGAGAUUCCUGUGUUGCAUUGAGUGGGGCUGCAUAUUUGGAGAUCAACUUUGAAUCCGGUGUGAAACGUUCACUUCCUAGGUCCUCUCCUUCUGAUGGGACCACGUGUUCUGAUGUGGCAGUAGAAGGCAGUGGUGACUGGCAUUCAGAAGUCUUUUCGGUUGUGGAUGGUGAGAGAGAGGGCUCAGAAGCAGGGGCCACAGCUGGAGUAAACGAUCCAGUGUCUUCCUUCUCUUCUGAUGGAAUCAUGUACUCAGAAACACCUUUCAAUAUUAACGGGGACUUACGGUCAAUUGUUUUCUUCAGUGACUCUUUUGUUGCCAGUGAUGGAACUGAAUAUUCAGAAGCAGAUGUGGAGUCUGGUGUGUAACACCCACUUUCUGAGGCCUCGUCUCCUGAUAGGACCAUGUAUUCUGGUGUAACUGUUGAAAACAGUGGAGACUGGUUCUCUGAAGUCUUCUCAGUUGUGGAUGGUGAGAGAGAGCUCUCAGAUGUAGGGGCUGCAGCUGGGGAAUAAGCCUCAAAUUCCUCAUUCUCUUCUUCUGACAAAACUGCAUGUUCAGCUAUAGCUUCUACAUUGGAUGGGGGAACUGGCUCACCUUCUUGCUCCUGUAAUUCAUGGUUCAAAUCCUGUGGUACUGAAUACUCUGAUACAAAAGCAGAACCAGUAGAAACAGAUGCAAUUUCCUCUCUUUCUUCCUCAGACAAAGCAACAUGUUCAGGAGAUGAUGCUGCCAAUAAUGGUAGAAUAAGCUCUUCUUCUUUGUGCUCCACUUCAGGGGACAUAUGUGGUGGGAAGGGCUUCUCGGAAACCAAUGGGCUUUCUGGGUAAUCAAGUUCUACGAUCUCUUCUUCUACUAAAUUAGAAUCUUCAGGUUCAGGGGUAAUAGCUAUGGGUAGGGAAGUUUCUAUUUCUUCUUUCUCUGGUUCUUCUAACAUUAGAGGUUCAGAAAGAGAAAUGGAUGGCUCAAGCAUGUUUUCCUCCUUCUCUCCUUUGACACUGGGAUGGGUAGGGGUCAGUUUUGCGGAGACUGGUUCUGCCCUUUCUAUUGAAGUCAGGUCCGGCUGUUCUUGGUCUGGGUCCAAACCAUCCUGGGUAGAUGCUGCCAGACCUGGUGACGCUGCCUCCAGAGAAAUGGAAUGGUGAGCAGAAUACACAUCUUCCUUCUUUACCUCAUUAGCAAAUGAUGGUGAGACUGAAGAGUCAUUCUCUGAAGCUGCAGUUCCUGGUGAAGCAAGCUCACAUUCUUCCUUUGUUGUUCUCAGGAACAUAGUUGCAGGUGUGUCGGGUGUCACAGAUGGAGGUUCCACUUCAUGUGGUUUUGCUUCAUCUUCUGGCUGUUGUGGCACUGACUGUGAAUGCCUGAGCUGUAUUCCUUGUUCUGCUCUGCCACUACUUGAAUAAGAGGGAACUGUGUGCUCCAAUGCAGAUGUGGCAUUUAGGGGAGAAUCAGCAUAAAUUUUCUUUUGAUCUUCAUGACUGAACAUUAAGGUUAGGGACUCUGAUCCUUUGGAGAGUGCGCCUCUCCAGGGUGGAAAAACCUCUUUUACUUUAUCCUCUAUGCUUUGGGCUACUAAUUUGCGUGUUUUGGACACUGUAUUAGAACCACUAUUGUCCAAAUCUGGCUCUAGACUAAUGGAUGCAUCUUUCCCUUUCCUAUAAUGUAUUUCUUUAAUUACAUAACCCUUUGGCAAUGUUCCAUAAAAUUGUAGAGGAAUUAAUUCUUCUUUAACCGAAUUAAACAUCUUAAUUUUAUAUUGUACUGUUCCUAUGUAGACUGGUCUUAACACUAAUGGCUUGUGUUCUUUGUAUAUUGCCCCAGUAAUCGGAGGUGUAUUUGAAGUGGUCUUCUUUUUUCUUGCUUUAUCAUAAAUGCCAGUAUAUGACUUCUCUUUCUCCGUGGUUAGUACCUGGC
rnacentral:lncRNA from 1 species